AACUUUUGUGGAUAUGAGUUGAACCUUUAGGAUAUGAAUUGAAUCUUUAGGAUAUGAAUUGAAAUUUUGGUUUAUGUAUUGGAAUUUUAGAUUAUAAAUUGAAAUUUUAGGAUAUGACUUGAACUUUUGUGGAUAUGAGUUGAACCUUUAGGAUAUGAAUUGAAAUUUUAGGAUAUGAAUUUAAAUUUUUGGUUUAUGUAUUGGAAUUUUAGUUUAUAAAUUGAAAUUUUAGGAUAUGACUUGAACUUUUGUGGAUAUGAGUUGAAAUUUUUGGUUUAUGAAUUGGAAUUUUAGUUUAUAAAUUGAAAUUUUAGGAUAUGACUUGAACUUUUGUGGAUAUGAGUUGAACCUUUAGGAUAUGAAUUGAAAUUUAGGAUUGCAGGGGGAUUUUAUAGAAGGGGUUGAUGACUUUAUUAGACAUGCAGUGGAACUUCCACCAAGAAUAAUUUAGACACAGUACCUGGCAUAGUGUGCCUUUAAUUGUUGUUCUCAUUAGCAACAAUGACGAUGAGAAGGCAAUGUCAUGUGUUUCAAACAGUGAUGGUGUAAGUAGAAAUUUAACAUUUCCUAAGUAGAUAAAAGAAGAGGUUAUAGAGGAAUUCUCUACUUCAUUUUCCAAGAGGAAAUAGAAAAUUCCUCUAUAACCUCUUGUUUUAUCUGCUUAGGAAAUGUUAAAUUUUUACCUACACCAUCACUGUUUGAAACACAUGUCAUUGCCUUCCCAUCAUCAUUGUCGCUAAUGAGAACAACAAUUGAUCAAAGACACACCCUGUCGGGUAAUGUAUCCAAGUUACUCUCUGUAUCCAAGUUCAUCCCGAGUAAUAGUACCACAAGGAUAAACACCAAAGCCACCAGACAACUUUAUGAUGCCAAUGAAGUAAGAUAAGCUAUUCAAUGAGACUCGUAUUGUAAAGAAGAAGAAAGAGACUGAUCCAGAAAGGUGGGUCGAGGGUCGAGCCUCGACUAUACAUGU
rnacentral:lncRNA from 1 species